rnacentral:rRNA from 1 species
AUUGAACGCUGGCGGUAUGCUUAACACAUGCAAGUCGAACGGUAACAGGCCUUCGGGCGCUGACGAGUGGCGGACGGGUGAGUAACGCGUAGGAAUCUGCCUCAUAGUGGGGGACAACGUGUGGAAAUGCACGCUAAUACCGCAUACGCCCUACGGGGGAAAGCGGGGGACCUUCGGGCCUCGCGCUAUGAGAUGAGCCUGCGUUGGAUUAGCUAGUUGGUAGGGUAAAGGCCUACCAAGGCGACGAUCUAUAGCUGGUCUGAGAGGACGAUGAGCCACACUGGGACUGAGACACGGCCCAGACUCCUACGGGAGGCAGCAGUGGGGAAUAUUGGACAAUGGGCGCAAGCCUGAUCCAGCAAUACCGCGUGUGUGAAGAAGGCCCUAGGGUUGUAAAGCACUUUCAAUAGGGAGGAAAACCUGUCGGUCAAUACCCGGCAGCUUGACAUUACCUAUACAAGAAGCACCGGCUAACUCCGUGCCAGCAGCCGCAGUAA